UAUUAAUUAUUUAAUUUUUUAUUUAUUUAUAUUUCAUAUUUUAGAAAUAACUUUUAUUUUAGUAUUUUUUAAAAAAUAAAUAUAUUUUAUUUAUAGUUUAUUUAACUGUGAAGGUUAAUAUUUUAAUAAUAUAUAAGUAGAUUUUAUUUUUUGUACCUUUUGUAUCAGGGUUUAUUUAUAAUCUUUAAUUUAUUAUAUUAUUAUCCCGAAAUUAAAAGAUUUAUCAAGAAAUUGAUUAUUUAAUGUUUCAUAAUUAUUUUUAAAUUCUUGAUAGAGGUUAUAUGCUAUUCAAUUUUAAAUAUCUGGUUUCUUAAUAAUUGAAUUUAAUUCAUAGGUUAGGAUUAAUAUUUAAUGUAUAAUUUUAUUUAUAUUAAAUUUAUAACCUUAAGAUUAUAAGGGAUAAGCUUUAUAAUUUGUUUAUACUUUAUUUUUUUAAUUAAUGUUAUGUAGGAUUAAAAAUUUCUUUCUUAAUUAUUUUUUAAUAAUUAUGCAUUAUUAUUUAUUUAUUUAUUAAAAAGUUAGUUUUUUAUUAAGAAUUAUUAAAUAAUUAUUAAUUAUUAAUUAUAAUGAUAGAAUUAGUAGUUUAAUGUAAAUUAAUAUAUAGUAAUUUGGCAAGUUUGUUCUUCACCUGUUUAACAAAAACAUGUCUUAAUGUUUUUAUUUAUUAAGUCUGGCCUGCUCAAUGAUUAAUUAUUAAAUAGCCGCAGUAUAUUGACUGUGCGAAGGUAGCAUAAUCAUUUGUCUUUUAAUUGGAGACUUGAAUGAAUGGUUUUAUGAGGGAACACCUUUCUUUAUAUUAAAUUUUGAAUUUAAUGUUUGUGUUAAAAAGCAUAAAUUUAUAAAUGGGACGAGAAGACCCUAUAGAAUUUUAUUUUAUAUGAAAUUAUUUGAUCUAUUGGUUUAAUAUUAGAUAUAAAUUUAAUUUAGAAUUUUGUUGGGGCGACAUUGAGAUUUUUUUUACUCUCAUAUUUAAUUUUUUAUUAAUUUUUAUAUUUAGGAUCCUUAUUUAAGGAUAUUUAGUUUAAAUUACCUUAGGGAUAACAGCGUAAUUUUUUUGGAGAGUUCUUAUUGAUAAAGAAGUUUGCGACCUCGAUGUUGGAUUAAAAUUAGAUUUAAGUGCAGAAGCUUAAUUUUCUAGGUCUGUUCGACCUUUAAAUUUUUACAUGAUCUGAGUUCAGACCGGCGUGAGCCAGGUCGGUUUCUAUCUUUUUAAUUAUUCAUUUAUAAUUUAGUACGAAAGGACCAAUUAUAACAAAUAUUUUGUUAAUAUCUGAAUUCUUUUAAGUAAA
rnacentral:rRNA from 1 species